GCAGAGCAUGGGAAACUGAAAAGUCCUUGGCUUAAGAUAAGUGCUACUUAGCAACAACUAAAACAUCAGGGUGUUAUCAACAGUAUUGUCACACUAAAUCCAAAACACACACUGUACCAGCUAUUAAGAGAGUUAACUCUGUCCCAGCCGAAACCAGGAUACUCAGCAUGUAUCUUUUGCUUUGGUUUUUUUCAGAUGCUGCAAGAGGCUCAGAGGGGCGAAGCUGCGUGCUGAGGAGCGGUCCGAGAAGGCGCCAUACAGGCAGCCUUUGGAACUGGAUGAGCCUUUGAGGUGCCACGAGCGAUGACGGCCGCAGCGUCCGACGCUGGAAUUCCUGCAGAGCAGAUGAUGAAGAGGAACCUGGCAACUGCAGGAAUAUCCUGGUUCACUGAUGUGUUUUUUGCUGAGGAUGGAUUCAGACCCCUGCCGUCUGACAGCUAAGUUGAGGGACUGGAGACCACUGCCCUACAGUGUGUAAUUUUGACUUCAGUUGGAAAGAAAUUGUCCAAAGCGGAAAUCUUUCUCGUUCAAAGAAGUUGCAUUUUAUUGAACUUCCCAUCAGAGUGGCUCUUCAGAGGUGAUGUAAUUGUCAGUAGAAGUCACCAGCAGCAAGACUUUUCACUCUCUAAAAAAAAAAAAAAAAAAAAAAAAAAAAAAAAUUUACUUCCUUCCAAAGACCCAAGCACAACAAGUCUUCCAAAAGUCGAUGGCAUUGCUGGUCUUUGGGUUCUCAGUUGUAACAGUUGAGAUAUCA